CCCGUUCCCACCACGGUUAAGGCGGUGCAGCGGUUUAUUGGGUUUGCCAAUUUCUACCAUAGGUUUAUACGGGGUUUCGGCAAGGUAGCAGCUCCUAUUACUUCCUUAUUGAAGGGUGGGCCGAGCCGGCUGUGUUUAGCACCUUGACUGUUUGGAGACAUUGGCUCGAGGGAGCGAGACACCCGUUUGUAGUCUGGACCGACCACCGUAACCUGGAGUACAUCUGGGCGGGGAAGAGACUGAACCCUCGCCAGGCCAUGUGGGAAUUUGUUUUUUGCCUGGUUUGAUUUCACGCUUUCAUACGUGCCGGGUACGAAAAACGCCAAGGCAGACGCGCUGUCUCAGUUGUGCGACGCGGGUGUAAGGCAGGUAGAUGAAACACCGAUUCUGCCCGCAUCGUGCAUUGUGGCGCCGGUUGUGUGGGACGUGGACGUGGACAUUCAGCGAGCGUUGCGCAGCGAUUCUGGGCUUCCUCAGUGUCCUGCGGAUCGUCAGUACGUCCCGCUGGAUGUUCGUGACCGUCUCAUCUACUGGGCCCACACGUCCCCUUCCACGGGUCACCCAGGCAUAGACCGUACUGUGCGCUGCCUUACCGACAACUACUGGUGGCCUGGUCUGGCCAAGGAUGUGAGAGUAUACGUGUCCUCCUGUUCGGUGUGCGCUCAGUGUAAGGCACCUAGACACCUUCCGGCGGGCAAUGCCACGAUCCUGAUUGUUGUGGACCGGUUUUCAAAGGCCUGCCGGUUCCUUCCCCUCCCCGGUCUCCCGACGGCUCUGAAGACCACGGAGGCACUGUUCACCCAUGUGUUCCGGCACUACGGGGUGCCGGAGGACAUUGUAUCUAACCGGGGCCCUCAAUUUACAUCUCAGGUCUGGAAGGCCUUUAUGGGCCGGUUGGGGGUCUCGGCUAAUGGGCAGGUGGAGCACGUGAACCAAGACCUGGGGAGGUCCCUGGCAGAGCCAGCCUGAGACCGGGUCUCCGGCGGUGGACGACUGGUUCCGGCGCGCCGAGGACACCUGGUCUGUGGCCCAUUGACACAUCCGGCACACCGGGGAACGCUAGAAGUCUGCUGGGGGGGGUACUGCAACGAGAAUGUGCAUGGAAGAUGCACGCCAUCCCCCCCGAUGGGGUAUUCGGCGUGCGUCAUCGCCGGCCUUCUAGUCACGCCGCUCCUCCUCCCACGGCACUGUCAUGUCUUGUUAUUGCACACACCUGGUGUCCAUUCCCUCAUUAGGUUGCCUAUAUUAGUUCCCUUGUUUUUGGGCGUCAUUGUGUGGUAUUGUUCUAUGUUCAGUGUUCUGUUUUUGCCGUGCUCGGUUGUUUUUGCGCUUGUGCGCUAUUUGAGUAUUACUUGCG
ensembl:lncRNA